rnacentral:lncRNA from 1 species
AAGCAAUUUGCUCAUAGCCAUAGCUUUCUUGUGAAAGUAGGAUAUUAACCCAGGUGUCUUGGUGCUGGAGAACAGAACUGGCCAGAGUCCAUCCUGUCUCCCACCGGCAUCCCAUUACGAAAUGAACACAGAAAAGGCAGGUCUGCAAUGCCAACAUCUAGUAUCUAUCCCAAAGACCAGGGAGAAAGGAAGGAAAGAUUCUGGUUCUGUCCUCUUCCCCAAGGCAAGGCUGGCUGCCCUACCAACAGAGGCAAAGAGAAGAGUGUGCAAGGCUGGCUGCCCUCCCAACAGAGGCAAAGAGGAGUGUGUGUUGAAAUAUCCAUUGAAUCCCUGAGACAACUGGAUCCUGGCCCAUUGAAUCAUAAACUCAAAUCUCACAUCAUAACCCCAAAUGACCUGUUACUCACCAUGUGGCCCAGCUGUCUUCAAACUCACCAGCCUCCUGCCUUAGCCUUCUAAAUGCUUGGAUUACAGGCAUGACCCACCAUAACUGGCUUUGUUUUAGUUUCAGAGAAGAUGAAACUGAUGUGCGUCAAAAAGUUAUGGAGGCUGGGAAGACCUAGAAUGUGGCAUCACUAUUUGCUGAAAUUUUUAAUAUAAUGCCUCUUAGCCUGGUUUGGAGAAAACGUCACAGAGAGGCACCAUUUGUUGUGGUUUUACAUGAAAAUUUUCUGACCCUGAACCUGGUUUGAUGGAAAUCAUUUGCUGAGGUUAUUUAGAAAAUUGUUACCUCAAAAAUGACCUAGGGGUCCUUAGAAUAAUAACACACAGAAGAAUAGCCUCAUUUUUCUGUUGGGCCCAGGAAACCAUGCCGAUUACCGACCGAGCUCUCAAUGGAAAAAUGCAGUCGGCGUGAACCACGCACGAACACAGCAGAGAAAGAAGAAAACACACACCACGAGGAACCCUAAUAGGACAAUACAUUAUAAGCCUCAUGGUACAUCCACUUGGUGUGCUGGGAGAGUCAGGAUGAGGACCUGAGAAGAACAGCAGCUUGAACCUGACUUCAUUUAACAGCCCACUGCCCUCUUGCCAAGAACCCAUCACAGACCUUCCCAGAAGAGAGGGAUGAGCCUCACCUAUGAAUAAGUCCUCAGAAACUCAAAUUUGAUUCUAAUGGAUUGUUUUCUCAGAAAGACUGAGCAUGUCCCCCCACAUCUCUGUCAUUUCCCACAGUAGUAACCUCUGCAGAUGCCACAUAGAAAACAAAACAAAACAAAAAAACAUGAGGUUGGUGGGCAGAUAGGCAGGGUAUAAACAAACAGCCUUGUAACCCAGAAGCUGUGUGAUAUACAGUAAACUUCACAACACUGAAAAGAUGUCCUAUCUGUUAAAAUGGGGUAAUAACAACUACCCGAAUGUUUAGGAAUAGAACUUCAAUAAAUGAUACAUUUUAUAGUACAGCAGACCAUCCUGUAAAGGUUUCAUCCUUCACUGUGGUGAUAAAUAUCCCAAACCACAUUGAAAAGCAUUGCAUCUACAUUUAUCUACACUGUAACUGUACUGUAAAUCAUGGGGGAGGGGAGAAUCAUAAAAACACCACCUGUCACCGUGUCAUUAAAGCAAGUUGGAAGUGAUACUUACAGAAACACAGCAAGAGCACCCCCAGUCACACAGUUCAAUCUCUUAGCAAGCGUUUUCUUUCUAGCCCAGUGGUUCUCAGUUUGGAAUUUUUGGCACUGCCUAGAGAUAGUUUUGUUGUUAAAACUGAGAAAAGAGCCGGGCGUGGUGGCACACGCCUUUAAUCCCAGCACUCAGGAGGCAGAGGCAGG